CAUAGGUUAAUGAGGCGAACCGGGGGAACUGAAACAUCUAAGUACCCCGAGGAAAAGAAAUCAACCGAGAUUCCCCCAGUAGCGGCGAGCGAACGGGGAGCAGCCCAGAGCCUGAAUCAGUAUGUGUGUUAGUGGAAGCGUCUGGAAAGGCGCGCGAUACAGGGUGACAGCCCCGUACACAAAAAUGCACAUGCUGUGAGCUCGAUGAGUAGGGCGGGACACGUGGUAUCCUGUCUGAAUAUGGGGGGACCAUCCUCCAAGGCUAAAUACUCCUGACUGACCGAUAGUGAACCAGUACCGUGAGGGAAAGGCGAAAAGAACCCCGGCGAGGGGAGUGAAAAAGAACCUGAAACCGUGUACGUACAAGCAGUGGGAGCACGCUUAGGCGUGUGACUGCGUACCUUUUGUAUAAUGGGUCAGCGACUUAUAUUCUGUAGCAAGGUUAACCGAAUAGGGGAGCCGAAGGGAAACCGAGUCUUAACUGGGCGUUAAGUUGCAGGGUAUAGACCCGAAACCCGGUGAUCUAGCCAUGGGCAGGUUGAAGGUUGGGUAACACUAACUGGAGGACCGAACCGACUAAUGUUGAAAAAUUAGCGGAUGACUUGUGGCUGGGGGUGAAAGGCCAAUCAAACCGGGAGAUAGCUGGUUCUCCCCGAAAGCUAUUUAGGUAGCGCCUCGUGAAUUCAUCUCCGGGGGUAGAGCACUGUUUCGGCAAGGGGGUCAUCCCGACUUACCAACCCGAUGCAAACUGCGAAUACCGGAGAAUGUUAUCACGGGAGACACACGGCGGGUGCUAACGUCCGUCGUGAAGAGGGAAACAACCCAGACCGCCAGCUAAGGUCCCAAAGUCAUGGUUAAGUGGGAAACGAUGUGGGAAGGCCCAGACAGCCAGGAUGUUGGCUUAGAAGCAGCCAUCAUUUAAAGAAAGCGUAAUAGCUCACUGGUCGAGUCGGCCUGCGCGGAAGAUGUAACGGGGCUAAACCAUGCACCGAAGCUGCGGCAGCGACGCUGAUGCGUUGUUGGGUAGGGGAGCGUUCUGUAAGCCUGCGAAGGUGUGCUGUGAGGCAUGCUGGAGGUAUCAGAAGUGCGAAUGCUGACAUAAGUAACGAUAAAGCGGGUGAAAAGCCCGCUCGCCGGAAGACCAAGGGUUCCUGUCCAACGUUAAUCGGGGCAGGGUGAGUCGACCCCUA
rnacentral:rRNA from 1 species